rnacentral:rRNA from 1 species
GACGAACGCUGGCGGCGUGCUUAACACAUGCAAGUCGAGCGGUAAGGCCCUUUCGGGGGUACACGAGCGGCGAACGGGUGAGUAACACGUGGGUGACCUGCCCUCAGCUCUGGGAUAAGCCUGGGAAACCGGGUCUAAUACUGGAUAUGACUCCAUGACGCAUGUUGUGGGGUGGAAAGCCUUGUGCGGCUGAGGAUGGGCCCGCGGCCUAUCAGCUUGGUUGGUGGGGUGANGGCCUACCAAGGCGACGACGGGUAGCCGGCCUGAGAGGGCGACCGGCCACACUGGGACUGAGACACGGCCCAGACUCCUACGGGAGGCAGCAGUGGGGAAUCUUGCGCAAUGGGCGAAAGCCUGACGCAGCGACGCCGCGUGAGGGAUGACGGCCUCGGUUGUAAC